GAUGAACGCUAGCUACAGGCUUAACACAUGCAAGUCGAGGGGAAACGACAUCGAAAGCUUGCUUUUGAUGGGCGUCGACCGGCGCACGGGUGAGUAACGCGUAUCCAACCUGCCCACCACUUGGGGAUAACCUUGCGAAAGUAAGACUAAUACCCAAUGAUAUCUCUAGAAGACAUCUGAAAGAGAUUAAAGAUUUAUCGGUGAUGGAUGGGGAUGCGUCUGAUUAGCUUGUUGGCGGGGUAACGGCUCACCAAGGCAACGAUCAGUAGGGGUUCUGAGAGGAAGGUCCCCCACAUUGGAACUGAGACACGGUCCAAACUCCUACGGGAGGCAGCAGUGAGGAAUAUUGGUCAAUGGACGAGAGUCUGAACCAGCCAAGUAGCGUGCAGGAAGACGGCCCUAUGGGUUGUAAACUGCUUUUAUAAGGGAAUAAAGUGAGUCUCGUGAGACUUUUUGCAUGUACCUUAUGAAUAAGGACCGGCUAAUUCCGUG
rnacentral:rRNA from 1 species